UACGGGGUGGGCAAGCGUUGUUCGGAAUUACUGGGCGUAAAGGGCUCGUAGGUUGCCAACUAAGUCAGACGUGAAAUCCCUCGGCUUAACCGGGGAACUGCGUCUGAUACUGGAUGGCUUGAGUUCGGGAGAGGGAUGCGGAAUUCCAGGUGUAGCGGUGAAAUGCGCAGAUAUCAGGAGGAACACCAAGGGCGAAGGCAGCUCGCUGGGACGUGACUGACGCUGAGGAGCGAAAGCGUGGGGAGCAAACAGG
rnacentral:rRNA from 1 species